UACGGAGGGUGCAAGCGUUAUCCGGAUUUACUGGGUUUAAAGGGUGUGUAGGCGGGCUUUUAAGUCAGUGGUGAAAUCUCCCGGGCUCAACCUGGAAACUGCCAUUGAUACUAUUAGUCUUGAAUAUUGUUGAGGUAGGCGGAAUAAGUCAUGUAGCGGUGAAAUGCAUAGAUAUGACUUAGAACACCAAUUGCGAAGGCAGCUUGCUAAACAAUGAUUGACGCUGAGGCA
rnacentral:rRNA from 1 species